rnacentral:rRNA from 1 species
AUGGCCGCCAUUAUUGAUGCUCUCCUCCAUGCUUCAUACUCCCAGCACAUUUCCUUUGUGAAGAGAGAGAUCCACGUCUUGUUUGACUUGGCGGCUACAAGGCUUGCAUUCUGCCUUGCCUCUGCUCACAUGGGGCUAGAAUAUCUGCCCUCAUCUUUGAUAAAGUGCAUGCCCACUGGGAGAUGUCUGAUCAGCAUGUGUGAGCUCAUUGAGCUAAGCAGAUUGGCUGCUUUCUUUAGGAUUAGUUAUCCUAUCUUAGCAACUCCCAAAUCGAACCACGGAUACUGGCUAUGUGCUCUGUUCGACAGCUUGGAAUCGCCCGAGAACACCACCACUGCUCUUAUUCCCAUUCUCUAG